rnacentral:rRNA from 1 species
GCUAACGUCCGUCGUGAAAAGGGAAACAACCCAGACCGUCAGCUAAGGUCCCAAAGUUAUGGUUAAGUGGGAAACGAUGUGGGAAGGCUUAGACAGCUAGGAGGUUGGCUUAGAAGCAGCCACCCUUUAAAGAAAGCGUAAUAGCUCACUAGUCGAGUCGGCCUGCGCGGAAGAUGUAACGGGGCUCAAACCAUACACCGAAGCUACGGGUAUCACUUAGGUGAUGCGGUAGAGGAGCGUUCUGUAAGCCUGUGAAGGUGAGUUGAGAAGCUUGCUGGAGGUAUCAGAAGUGCGAAUGCUGACAUGAGUAACGACAAUGGGUGUGAAAAACACCCACGCCGAAAGACCAAGGUUUCCUGCGCAACGUUAAUCGACGCAGGGUUAGUCGGUCCCUAAGGCGAGGCUGAAAAGCGUAGUCGAUGGAAAACAGGUUAAUAUUCCUGUACUUCUGGUUAUUGCGAUGGAGGGACGGAGAAGGCUAGGCCAGCUUGGCGUUGGUUGUCCAAGUUUAAGGUGGUAGGCUGGAAUCUUAGGUAAAUCCGGGAUUCUAAGGCCGAGAGCUGAUGACGAGUGUUCUUUUAGAACACGAAGUGGUUGAUGCCAUGCUUCCAAGAAAAGCUUCUAAGCUUCAGGUAACCAGGAACCGUACCCCAAACCGACACAGGUGGUUGGGUAGAGAAUACCAAGGCGCUUGAGAGAACUCGGGUGAAGGAACUAGGCAAAAUGGCACCGUAACUUCGGGAGAAGGUGCGCCGGUGAGGGUGAAGCAUUUACUGCGUAAGCCCAUGCCGGUCGAAGAUACCAGGCCGCUGCGACUGUUUAUUAAAAACACAGCACUCUGCAAACACGAAAGUGGACGUAUAGGGUGUGACGCCUGCCCGGUGCCGGAAGGUUAAUUGAUGGGGUUAGCUAACGCGAAGCUCUUGAUCGAAGCCCCGGUAAACGGCGGCCGUAACUAUAACGGUCCUAAGGUAGCGAAAUUCCUUGUCGGGUAAGUUCCGACCUGCACGAAUGGCGUAACGAUGGCGGCGCUGUCUCCACCCGAGACUCAGUGAAAUUGAAAUCGCUGUGAAGAUGCAGUGUAUCCGCGGCUAGACGGAAAGACCCCGUGAACCUUUACUAUAGCUUUGCACUGGACUUUGAAUUUGCUUGUGUAGGAUAGGUGGGAGGCUUUGAAGCGUGGACGCCAGUUCGCGUGGAGCCAACCUUGAAAUACCACCCUGGCAACUUUGAGGUUCUAACUCAGGUCCGUUAUCCGGAUCGAGGACAGUGUAUGGUGGGUAGUUUGACUGGGGCGGUCUCCUCCUAAAGAGUAACGGAGGAGUACGAAGGUGCGCUCAGACCGGUCGGAAAUCGGUCGUAGAGUAUAAAGGCAAAAGCGCGCUUGACUGCGAGACAGACACGUCGAGCAGGUACGAAAGUAGGUCUUAGUGAUCCGGUGGUUCUGUAUGGAAGGGCCAUCGCUCAACGGAUAAAAGGUACUCCGGGGAUAACAGGCUGAUACCGCCCAAGAGUUCAUAUCGACGGCGGUGUUUGGCACCUCGAUGUCGGCUCAUCACAUCCUGGGGCUGAAGCCGGUCCCAAGGGUAUGGCUGUUCGCCAUUUAAAGUGGUACGCGAGCUGGGUUUAGAACGUCGUGAGACAGUUCGGUCCCUAUCUGCCGUGGACGUUUGAGAUUUGAGAGGGGCUGCUCCUAGUACGAGAGGACCGGAGUGGACGAACCUCUGGUGUUCCGGUUGUCACGCCAGUGGCAUUGCCGGGUAGCUAUGUUCGGAAUAGAUAACCGCUGAAAGCAUCUAAGCGGGAAACUAGCCUCAAGAUGAGAUCUCACUGGGACCUUGA